UCUAACUGUGUAUGUAGAUUCUUAAUUUUUAUACGACCGCAAAAUUUGAAAAAUUUUUCGUCGUAUAUUGCUAUCACGUUGGCGUCGUCGUCUGCGUCGUCGUCGUCGUCGUCGUCGUCGUCGGCGGCGUCGUCGUCGUCGUCGUCCGAAUACUUUUAGUUUUCGCACUCUAACUUUAGUAAAAGUGAAUAGAAAUCUAUGAAAUUUUAACAUAAGGUUUAUGACCACAAAAGGAAGGUUGGGAUUGAUUUUGGGAGUUUUGGUCCCAACAUUUUAGGAAUUAGGGGCCAAAAAG
rnacentral:lncRNA from 1 species